AAAUGAUUAGGAAAGCAGAUGUUCUUGAUUGUUAUUCUUUGAGGACCCAUGAUGUUUACGUUUGUUACAGUGUUUGUAUUCUUUUAUUUACCCUUUUUGGAGAUGUUAGAUGGAUUAAUAUGUAAAGGAGUUGAUGGAAAUGUCUGUUGUCUUGGUUUCUCGUGGAAUAACAGUACUGCAAUGUGUGAAAAGUGCCCCAUUGGUUCUUUUGGCAAAGACUGCAACACGAAUUGUAGUUACCCUUUCUAUGGAGAAGACUGCCAAUCAAGAUGCAAUUGUUCCAAAGAUAAAUGUCACUUCUCUCGUGGAUGUUUUCAAAGCGUAAAAACU